rnacentral:tRNA from 1 species
GUUGCGUGGCCGAGUGUAAGGCGUUGGAAUAGAAAUCCAAUGGGAUCUUCCCGCACAGGUUCGAAUCCUGCCCGCAACG